rfam:Brachypodium distachyon strain Bd21 chromosome 4, whole genome shotgun sequence.
AUGUUUCUUCAGCUCCGUCCAACAAAGGAUGUCUCAACUUUGACUAAAUUUGAAUGCAUCUAUACACUAAGUCAUGUCUAGAUACAUCCAAAUUUUUACAAACUUGAGACAUCUUUUGUUGGACAGAGGGAGUAUCAA